AACGAACGUUAGCGGCGCGCCUAACACAUGCAAGUCGAGCGAGAAGGGGAGCAAUCCCAGUAAAGCGGCGCACGGGGUGAGUAACACGUAGGUAAUCUACCUCGAGGUGGUGGAUAACCUUCCGAAAGGAGGGCUAAUACAGCAUGAGACCACGUCUUCGCAAGAGGAUGAGGUUAAAGCGGGGUCACUACAAGUAAACUCGCGCCACGAGAUGAGCCUGCGGCCCAUCAUGGUAGUUGGUAGGGUAACGGCCUACCAAGCCGAAGACGGGUAGCUGGUCUGAGAGGAUGAUCAGCCACACUGGAACUGAGACACGGUCCAGACUCCUACGGGAGGCGAGCAGUGGGGAAUCUUGCGCAAUGGGCGAAAGCCUGACGCAGCGACGCCGCGUGAGUGAUGAA
rnacentral:rRNA from 1 species